rnacentral:lncRNA from 1 species
UAAACUCAAGCACCUCGACCUCAUCUUCUUAACUUGGAACAGACUAUCCGGUCCAAUUCCUGAAUACAUCAGCGAGCUCAAAAGCGUUACGUUCUUGGACAUCUCCUUUAACAAGUUUACCGGUCCUAUUCCCGGUUGGCUUACUCAGAUGCCGAACCUUCAGACCUUUCAGGCCGACAACAAUUCGCUAACCGGUCCUAUACCGAACUCUUUCGGUUCCUUUGUAGGCAACGUCCCUAAUCUUUUCUUGCCUUACAAUAAGCUCUCAGGUAUACCAAUUUUUUUUUUUCAAUUAUACUAUUUCAUAAUAUAAGUAGUUUAGGAAUUUUUUUUUAUAUUACAAAAUAUAAUUAAGUAGUUUUGAGAUUUGUAUUCACUUUUUACAUUUAUGUGACCAAUUAUGAAAACAUUUUUAUGAUUAGUUAUGAAAAAGUUAAAUAUAUUUAAAAUAGAUUAAAUAUUAUUUUUUGACAAGUAAUAAUUUUCUCAACCAUUGUACUUUCACUAAAACACAGUACAUUUUGAAACAUAUGAGGCGGAGUAUAACUUUAGAUUUAACUAUUUGAUCUAUAGAUACACCAGUUUGAGAUUUCUUAAAAUAUGAAGUAUUUUUAGAGACCGUAUUAUUAAUUAUUUUCAGCAUCAAAUUGUUAUUAUUAUUAUUGAUUACUAAAUCAAAUUCAUUAACAUUGCUCUGGCAGGAAAAAUACCGGAGUCGUUGUCAAAGAUUGACUUUCAAGCAGUAGUUCUGACGGGAAACAGUUUCACAGGAGAUGGUUCAAUGUUUUUCGGAGGGAACAAAAGAACAGUACAAGUGGAUCUAUCGAGAAACAAGUUUGAGUUCGAUCUCUCCAAAGUUAAGUUCGGUAAGAGCAUGGCUUUGUUGGAUCUGAGCCAUAACCGAAUCUUCGGGAAACUUCCUAGGGAGCUGACCGAGCUACAUCUCCAGCGUUUCAACAUUAGUUAUAAUCGUCUCUGCGGAAAAAUCCCACGUGGUGGUAAACUUCAGACCUUUAAAUCAUAUGAGUUCGCUCAUAACCGCUGUCUUUGUGGGUCACCGCUUAAGAAGGCUUGUUAAAUUGAUUUGUUUAGUGGCGUGACAACAAAUAAUUACGUUUUAUCUGUACGAUGAUGGUUGCUCAAAAAAAAACUUGUACGAUGAUGAUGUGUUAAUUAUCACUGCUUAUCAAAUGAAUUGUUCCUUUGAGGAAUUAAUUAAUGCUGUUGUAUCAUUUGUUCUUCUUUUUUAAGAAUAACGUUCCUGUUGCUUUUAUCUGUACGAUGAUGGUUGCUCAAAAAAAACUUGUACGAUGAUGAUGUGUUAAUUGUCACUGCUUAUCAAAUGAAUUGUUCAUUUGAGGAAUUAAUGUUGUUGUACCAUUUGUUCUUCUUUUUUAAGAAUAACGUUCCUGUUGCUUUUGAAAGUGUUGGGUAUAUUAGUGGUUCAUUAGCUGGACUGAAAAUGAUUUUGGCCAUUGUAUCAAAGAUCCUUGAUAAAGAUAAUUUAAUUGUGAGAAGUCUUUUAAAAUUAUUUUUGAUAAAGAUAUUCUAAAAUAUAUGUAGGCUCGUACAAUGUAGAUUCCCGCCAGGUAUGAAACUCACGUUUAUUUCUAUAAUAAUUAGUAGUUGAUUAAAUGGCAGCCUAGGGCUAUAAUCAAGAUCUUAUUCACAUUAGAAUAUUCGUUGAUCACUUUUUAAAUUACUAGAGGAACGACGCACACCCAAGUUGUUCACAUUAUUUAAUAACAUGAUAUAAAAAUUCUUCACAUUCAAAGUAAAAUAUUUAUUGACUUUUGAAAUACGAUGUUUUUAGCUAAUUAACACGAGAUAUGUAAAUACAUUUCACAUCAUGCACAUAAAAAUGAAAAAAAAAAGAUAAUCACAGACACUUUAUACUAAAAUAAUCAUACGAGGGAGGACUUCUAACCUGAUUCCGAACCGACGAUAUAUGUAGUAGACGACUAAGUCUUUGCUCAUUUAUUUAAGUUCAUGUUUUGCAAAAUAAGAGGAGAAGAAUUAGUCUUCCUUGUGUUCAGGAACCAAACAAACAUAGUUAUUGAUUUAUAUUGCCAGCAUAUUGCUUUUAGAACCAUGAAAACUCUGGUAUAUAGUAGCUUCACUGCGUCAAAAUAACCACUCAUAUCACAAUGAAGCUCCUUAUUCGUCUCUUUAUCUUCUUCGCUGCACUCUUCAUCUCUUCUCUCCCAUCAUCUUACAGCUGCAACCCAAAAGACAAAAACACCCUCCUUCAAAUCAAGAAGCAUUUUAACAACCCGAAACUCCUCUCCUCCUGGGAUCCUCAAACCGACUGUUGUACUAGCUGGACCGGCAUUGAGUGCACUAACGGCCGCGUCACAUUAUUCUCUAUGGCCAGCGACGACAGUGUCGUCGGUCAGAUCCCGGACCAGAUCGGCGACCUCCCUGAACUCCGUACACUCGAAAUGAGUUCCAUAAAUCUAACCGGAAACAUACCACGCACCAUCACCAAACUCAAGCACCUCGUCCUCAUCUUCUUAAGCUGGAACAAACUAUCCGGUCCAAUUCCUGAUUACAUCAGCGAGCUCAAAAGCGUUACGUUCUUGGACAUCUCCUUUAACAAGUUUACCGGUCCUAUUCCCGGUUGGCUUACUCAGAUGCCGAACCUUCAGACCUUUCAGGCCGACAACAAUUCGCUAACCGGUCCUAUACCGAACUCUUUCGGUUCCUUUGUAGGCAACGUCCCUAAUCUUUUCUUGCCUUACAAUAAGCUCUCAGGUAUACC